UACCUACCCUUGACAUGGCUGGAAUCCCCGAGAGAUUGGGGAGUGCUCGAAAGAGAACCAGUACACAGGUGCUGCAUGGCUGUCGUCAGCUCGUGUCGUGAGAUGUUGGGUUAAGUCCCGCAACGAGCGCAACCCUUGUCAUUAGUUGCUACGAAAGAGCACUCUAAUGAGACUGCCGGUGACAAACCGGAGGAAGGUGGGGAUGACGUCAAGUCCUCAUGGCCCUUAUGGGUAGGGCUUCACACGUCAUACAAUGGUACAUACAGAGGGCCGCCAACCCGCGAGGGGGAGCUAAUCCCAGAAAGUGUAUCGUAGUCCGGAUUGUAGUCUGCAACUCGACUGCAUGAAGUUGGAAUCGCUAGUAAUCGCGGAUCAGCAUGUCGCGGUGAAUACGUUCCCGGGUCUUGUACACACCGCCCGUCACACCAUGGGAGCGGGUUUUACCAGGAGUAGGUAGCUUAACCGCAAGGAGGGCGCUUACCACGGUAGGAUUCGUGACUGGGGGAAGUCGUAACAAGGUAACCAAGGG
rnacentral:rRNA from 1 species